GUGCCAGCCGCCGCGGUAACACGGGGGGAGCAAGCGUUGUUCGGAAUCACUGGGCGUAAAGGGCGUGUAGGCGGUCAGGUUAGUGAGAUGUGAAACGCCCCGGCUCACCCGGGGACCUGCAUCUCAAACUGCCUGGCUUGAGUAUGGGAGAGGAUGAGGGAAUUCCUGGUGUAGCGGUGAAAUGCGUAGAUAUCAGGAGGAACACCGGUGGCGAAAGCGCUCAUCUGGCCCAAUACUGACGCUGAGGCGCGAAAGCUAGGGGAGCAAACGGGAUUAGAUACCCCUGUAGUCC
rnacentral:rRNA from 1 species